rnacentral:rRNA from 1 species
UACAGAGGGUGCAAGCGUUGUUCGGAAUUAUUGGGCGUAAAGCGCGUGUAGGCGGCUUGGCAAGUCGGGUGUGAAAUCCCUCAGCUCAACUGAGGAAGUGCGCCCGAAACUGCUGAGCUUGAGUACUGGAGAGGGUGGCGAAAUUCCCCAUGUAGAGGUGAAAUUCGUAGAUAUGGGGAGGAACACCGGUGGCGAAGGCGGCCACCUGGCCAGAUACUGACGCUGAGACGCGAAAGCGUGGGUAGCAAACGAGG